UUGGUGAAGGAAAGGUGGAUUCCACUCAAUUCAGAGUGGUGAUGAUAGGAUGCUUGUAGGUGAGCAAAGUUAACCAAAAACCAAUCUGAACCAAUUAACCGAAUCGAACCAUAUUAAAAUUAACCAAACCAUUGCAUUGGUUAACCGAAUUGAACUGUUAUUUGAAGAUGGUUUACUAACCGAACCGAACUUUUAUUAGAUUCAAUUAACUGGUAUUAACAAAACCAUUACAAUUUACAACUCAAUCAAUCAGUUAUCACACAAAACUUCUUUUCACACAAUGACACAAAACGUGAACUGAACCCUUUUCUAAACCCUAAUUUCAAUUUCAAUUUCAAUUUCAAAACCCUAAUUUCUCCUCUUCAGGGACCAGUGAUGUUGAUAUAGAAGCUUUCUUCACCUCACACAAUUCACUCUUCUGCGAUUAAUCCAUGAAAUAGACUAAAAAAAUGCCACGAUUAAUCCAUGAAAUGGCCGGUCUUCACCUCUUCAGAGACCAUUUUUUAGCCAAUUCAUUUUUUUCUGCGAUCUUCACCUCUUCUUCGAACUCUUAUGCGAACUAUUCACCUAAGAGAUAACAUCUCAAGAAUCAGAUCACUUAGAUGAUAUAAAUUGAAAACCAUCCACUUAAAUCAUAAAGGUCAAUACCAUAUGAAUUCAUAAAGACAAAGAUCUAUUCGGACUUCAAAGUUGAAGUUAUUAGCUACUUGUUGAGAGAAGAUGUCAGUUAUUAUAAACAUUUAGCUUUAUUUUGUUUUGCUAUUGUAAUAGUUUUAUUUGGAAGGAUGUUGACCCUAUUUACUUAUGCAAGUAUGAUGUAUUGAGAGUAAGUAAGGAAUGAUUGUGCAUCUUUAUACUUCAAACUGAAGUUGAUUUUAUUGUUACUUAAGGAUUAAGCUCUUGUGAAUUAUGUGCUCUUAUGUUGAUGUCAACUGUACAAAAGAGAUACUCUAUUGCAUUUUUUGAAAUUUAUCAAUGGAUUGCACCUAAUAAUUUAGGGGGACUAAUACCUCAAA